rnacentral:rRNA from 1 species
CCUACGGGGGGCAGCAGUGGGGAAUAUUGCACAAUGGGGGAAACCCUGAUGCAGCGACGCCGCGUGGAGGAAGAAGGUCUUCGGAUUGUAAACUCCUGUUGUUGAGGAAGAUAAUGACGGUACUCAACAAGGAAGUGACGGCUAACUACGUGCCAGCAGCCGCGGUAAUACGUAUGGUGCAAGCGUUAUCCGGAUUUACUGGGUUUAAAGGGAGCGUAGGCGGAUUGUUAAGUCAGUUGUGAAAGUUUGCGGCUCAACCGUAAAAUUGCAGUUGAUACUGGAUAUCUUGAGUGCAGUUGAGGCAGGCGGAAUUCGUGGUGUAGCGGUGAAAUGCUUAGAUAUCACGAAGAACUCCGAUUGCGAAGGCAGCCUGCUAAGCUGCAACUGACAUUGAGGCUCGAAAGUGUGGGUAUCAAACAGGAUU